CCUACGGGAGGCAGCAGUGGGGAAUCUUGCGCAAUGGGCGAAAGCCUGACGCAGCCAUGCCGCGUGUAUGAUGAAGGUCUUAGGAUUGUAAAAUACUUUCACCGGUGAAGAUAAUGACUGUAGCCGGAGAAGAAGCCCCGGCUAACUUCGUGCCAGCAGCCGCGGUAAUACGAAGGGGGCUAGCGUUGCUCGGAAUUACUGGGCGUAAAGGGAGCGUAGGCGGACAUUUAAGUCAGAGGUGAAAUCCCGGAGCUUAACUUCGGAACUGCCUUUGAUACUGGGUGUCUUGAGUGUGAGAGAGGUAUGUGGAACUCCGAGUGUAGAGGUGAAAUUCGUAGAUAUUCGGAAGAACACCAGUGGCGAAGGCGACAUACUGGCUCAUUACUGACGCUGAGGCUCGAAAGCGUGGGGAGCAAACAGGAUUAGAUACCCUGGUAGUCCACGCCGUAAACGAUGAUUGCUAGUUGUCGGGAAGCUUGCUUCUCGGUGACGCAGCUAACGCAUUAAGCAAUCCGCCUGGGGAGUCGGUCGCAGNUUAAAACUCAAAUGAAUUGACGGCUGAGACGNGCGAGACGACGACGAGGAGAGG
rnacentral:rRNA from 1 species